GUGGGGGCUCACAACUGUCUCCUGACAGGGGGCUGAGGUUUCUCGAGAAGGCAGAGCUGUGCUCUAGAGAAGAUGAGACUGCUGGGUCUCCUCCUGUGCCUGGUGACAGCCCCCCUGGGUGUCCUGUCCCAGGUACAGCUGCAGGAGUCGGGCCCAGGACUGGUGAAGCCCUCACAGACCCUCUCCCUCACCUGCACUGUCUCUGGAUUCUCUUUAACAAGCUGGAGUGUGCACUGGGCUCGCCAGGCUCCAGGGAAGGGGCUGGAGUGGGUCGGUGCUAUAUGGAGUGGUGGAAGUACAGACUACAACCCAUCGCUGAAAUCCCGACUCAGCAUCACCAGGGACACCUCCAAGAGCCAAGUUUAUUUAACACUGAGCAGUCUCACAACCGAGGACACAGCCAUGUAUUACUGUGGGAGACACACAGAAAUGGACAUUAAAAGAAGGAAAAUUGAAGAAAGUGCACAUUCAAGCAACAUGAAAACCCCUGCUGGAAAGGUCAGAAUCCAGAACACUGAGAAAAGCAAAUGCUGCUGUGCAUGUGGAGCAAACGGAGCUCUCAUUCCUUACUGGUGA